rnacentral:rRNA from 1 species
GACGAACGCUGGCGGCGUGCCUAAUACAUGCAAGUCGAACGCACCGUUUAUACCGUAGCUUGCUACACCAUAAACCGUGCGUUGCGAACGGGUGAGUAACGCGUAGGUAACCUGCCUGGUAGCGGGGGAUAACUAUUGGCAACGAUAGCUAAUACUGCAUAAUACUGAUUAUUGCAUGAUAAUUGAUUGAAAGAUGCUAUUGCAUCACUACCAGAUGGACCUGCGUUGUAUUAGCUAGUAGGUGAGGUAACGGCUCACCUAGGCGACGAUACAUAGCCGACCGGAGAGGGUGGGCGGCCGCACUGGUACUGAGACACGGCCCAGACUCCUACGUGAGGCAGCAGUAGGGAAUCGUCAGCGAUGGACGGGAGUCUGAGCGAGCAACGCCGCGUGAGUGAGGAAUGUUUUCGGAUCGGAUGGCUCUGUUGUAAGAGGAGAACGGAGGUGAGGGUGGAAAGUGCACACUGUGAGGGUAUCUUGCCAGAAAGGGACGGCUAACUACGUG